CCAGCAAUUAGUAUGAAAAACAAUUUACUUGUAAGUCUACAUUAAAAAGAAACAUGCAAUUUUCAACUUCUAAAUGGGAAUUUUUUUUUCAGCUGGACAGGAAAAGCAAUAAGUCUUAGAGCUUACCUUAGUGAGUGCUGGAGACCCAGUUCUUGAGAAAAAAAAAUAAUAAUAACCAUUUGUAAAGCAAUCAAAAUCCACAGCCAAACUGAGUCUGGAUCUUGUCAAAUUCCAAACAGGUAAACGACCGAGGUAUCAAUGAAAACUGCCAGAGAGGUGUGCUCUUGGAAAAUAACUAUUAUAUAUAUGUAUUUAUAUAAAUGCCUAUUUGUAUUUAUGUAUGUAUGUAGGUACAUAUGUAUUCAUUCCGUAUCUUAAGUUAAAACAAGUCACAAAAAAGUUAAACCGUGAUGAGAGGAGGUUGGGUUGAAGAAGUAAAGCAGAGAAAAUAUUCAACCAAAGCUUCCCCAGGGGAAAAGAAAAAUGGAAAAAGAAAUCUUUGGAAAGGAUCCUUAGAAGAGAGUUGCAAGAGGUACCAGGACUUAGAAGCUUUUCAGAAAGCCCAGAAGCAGAAAGAUGGAGAGAUGUGCCCUGCUAGGGUCCCAGGUAGCCACCCCACCUGCCGGCAAGGGCAAACGGACUCCCAUGUUCCCAGCCAGGUGGGAGCCGGUGGGAGCCAGAGGCCAACGCAGGGCAGAGAUGCCGGCGGGGGGCCCGGGGCUCCGGCUUCUCUGGCGGCGGAGCUGGGUGGUUCCACAGUUCCCAGUGCAGUUCGGAUGCUGUUGUUUCAGCAGUGCAGACAAGAAACCAUCCAGGGAAAUGACUAUUACAUCAUCUUAAAGGAAUAUGGCUUGGAGAAAUCGGAGGCAGCUCCGAGUCACGUCCUCCUCGGUGACAGGUUGCCAGGACUGCACGGGGACGCCGCGCUCCGGCGGUGGGCACGCGAUUGCCAGGCGCGCAGGGCUUGGGGCGGGGACGCAGUGCUGCGCAGCCACUUCCCUCCCUGUCCUGUCCUGGAGUCUGGAGUUUCCAAGGGCCUUUUCCUUCUUUCUUGUCUUUACCUCCACCACCAUCACCAUCCCACAGCAAAUCCCUGCCCCCUACCCAAGAGCUCUCCGCUGAAACACUGUGGGAUGGCACUCCCGGACUGA
rnacentral:lncRNA from 1 species